AUGGAGAACUUGGGGCCAACAAGAAGAGUUUUGCCUACAGUCACAGAGCAAGAAAGCAGCAGAGCCGACGUUCUCAAAGCCCCACCCCUAGACUGUAAUUGCAGAGCACCUCCGAGUCAGAGUCAGGAAGAGGAGAGGAGAGGCAGGACGAGGGUGCCAGAGCUUGCUGGAGGGAGAUGGCAGAAACUAAUGAGUUCCCUGCAGGACACAACAAAGCUAGAGGAGGCCUUGGAGAGACUGCAAAGGGGAGCUACAACGGAGCAGUCAAGGACAUAUAGUCUCACUUCUGUGACAGAGUGGGCGAGAGGUGCUUCAAGUUGGAAUUCUAGAAUUGGAGGUCCUGCAUAAGCCACGGCACUGGAUGAUUCCACUGCGCUGACAGUGAAUGAGCUUGGCUGGGCAUUUUGGAAGCCUUAUGGGACGGAGGGUGCCUGCUGAGAGUGCCUGUGCCCAGAAGAGGAACAGCAGAGAUGCCUGUAGAGAAGGCGGCACUGAGGAAGGCAAGCAGCACCUGGCGGAAUUCGCAGAGAGCUGGGGGCAGCUGGAGGGCGCCAUAUAUAUCACCUAAUCAGCCAGUCUUACUUGUGAAAUACCUCAUACAAUAAUUAAUGCACUCUUUCUAUUGCCACUUGACUUUACACCUUGGGCACUUCAAAGUAAACGCAAUUUGAGAAUGUGAUUUUUAACGACCUUGUAUCGUUCCAUCAUGUGAAUCUAAUAUAAUCUACUCAACAAUCUCCUAGUGUUGUGAAUUAUAAAUUAAUUGUCUUUAUUUUGUUGUGGUUUUUAUUUUUUGUUAUUGUGUACUAUACUGCUAGGAACCUACUUGGAAAUACAUCUUUGAGAACAUCUCUAAUUAUAUUCUUAGGAGAAAUUGUUAUAAAUAGAAUAGUCUUAUUAAAGGGUAUGGACAUUUUAAAGCUUUUGAUCCACAUAAAUAAAUCGCCGUACUGAAUGUUUGUGACAAGUCAUACUUCCCACCACAGGAUAAGAGUUUCCUUCCUUUUGAAUCGUUACCAGGCUUAAGUACUAUGAUUUUUUAAAAGCCUGGCUAAAGUGAC
rnacentral:lncRNA from 1 species